AACGAACGCUGGCGGCAUGCCUAACACAUGCAAGUCGAACGAGGCCUUCGGGUCUAGUGGCGCACGGGUGCGUAACACGUGGGAAUCUGCCCUUUGCUUCGGAAUAACAGUUAGAAAUGACUGCUAAUACCGGAUGAUGUCGAAAGACCAAAGAUUUAUCGGCAAAGGAUGAGCCCGCGUAGGAUUAGGUAGUUGGUGGGGUAAGGCCUACCAAGCCGACGAUCCUUAGCUGGUCUGAGAGGAUGAUCAGCCACACUGGGACUGAGACACGGCCCAGACUCCUACGGGAGGCAGCAGUGGGGUAUAUUGGACAAUGGGCGAAAGCCUGAUCCAGCAAUGCCGCGUGAGUGAUGAAGGCCUUAGGGUUGUAAAGCUCUUUUACCAGGGAUGAUAAUGACAGUACCUGGAGAAUAAGCUCCGGCUAACUCCGUG
rnacentral:rRNA from 1 species